rnacentral:rRNA from 1 species
CCCCAGACUCCUACGGGAGGCAGCAGUGGGGAAUAUUGCACAAUGGGGGAAACCCUGAUGCAGCGACGCCGCGUGAAGGAUGAAGUAUUUCGGUAUGUAAACUUCUAUCAGCGGGGAAGAAAAUGACGGUACCUGAGUAAGAAGCCCCGGCUAACUACGUGCCAGCAGCCGCGGUAAUACGUAGGGGGCAAGCGUUAUCCGGGUUUACUGGGUGUAAAGGGAGCGUAGACGGCAGUGCAAGUCUGGAGUGAAAGGCGGGGGCUCAACGCGCGGACUGCUCUGGAAACUGUACGGCUGGAGGGCAGGAGAGGUAAGUGGAAUUCCUAGAGGAGGGGUGAAAUGCGUAGAUAUUAGGAGGAACGCCAGUGGCGAAGGCGGCUUACUGGACUGUAACUGACGUUGAGGCUCGAAAGCGUGGGGAGCAAACA